rnacentral:lncRNA from 1 species
CAAUUUCUGGCACAUGUCUUCUCAUCAAUACUGAUAUUUUGAACUGUCAUUGUAGCAGGACACUUACUGCUGAGAUUUAGGUCCAGCAGUUCUCAGUCAUGUGACACCACGAUUGAGAAAUUCUGCAAAGUUGACAUGGAUGGGGAUUCAACAACAGCAACAGCAACAACAACAAUAACAACAAGUUCAUUCACUCAAAGUGCCUAAACUCAUCAAUGACACUUAAAAAUAAAAGAAAAC